rnacentral:rRNA from 1 species
AUUGAACGCUGGCGGCAGGCCUAACACAUGCAAGUCGAACGGUAACAUGAACUAGCUUGCUAGUUUGAUGACGAGUGGCGGACGGGUGAGUAAUACUUAGGGAACUGCCCAGAGGUGGGGGACAACUAUUGGAAACGAUAGCUAAUACCACAUACGACCUACGGGUGAAAGGGGGCUUCGGCUCUCGCCUUUGGAUGUACCUAAGCGAGAUUAGCUUGUUGGUGAGGUAAUGGCUCACCAAGGCGACGAUCUCUAGCUGGUCUGAGAGGAUGAUCAGCCACACUGGAACUGAGACACGGUCCAGACUCCUACGGGAGGCAGCAGUGGGGAAUAUUGCACAAUGGGCGCAAGCCUGAUGCAGCCAUGCCGCGUGUAUGAAGAAGGCCUCGGUUGUAAGUAC